UUGUACUCAAAGGGUGACAAUAUUUAUGGGAUCAUAAAGUGUCUCCAUGAGUCUCCUCUCUGAAUAAAGAUGUUUUUUUCAACGUUGGUGUAGAGCCCACACAGCCCAGAGAAUGUUUUUAUUCUAUAUGUGCAGUGGUGUCCUACAAUGACGUACUGUUCUUAUUCCAGGAAUUCUUUGAGUGGCUUCUCAAGAACUUGCCUACAUUUUCUCCGUGUGUGCAACCGCUCCUUGAGGGAAAAGUGCUUUCACAAAGAAAGCACAAACAGCUAUAUCGCCAGCUCCGGGCAGAAAUCACACUCUUUUUGGAGUGAGUUUUUUCUUCCUCAAUAACACUAAACCAUCCCUUGUGUCAUUCACCAGCUUUUUAUGGAAAAGCAAUUCUUUGCUUUCUGAUGCAGAAAUGAAAUGGGUGCUUCAGAACAAUAUUGUUGCUGAACUAUCUGCAGUGAGAAUGAUAUAAUCACCUGCAGUAACACUGCCCAAUGAUGUUGGAUGUAUAAGGCCCUUGAAGAUUCUCUUCUAAAGAUGUACCCACGCCUGAUGUGGGAUGAACUAAAGCCUGAAAGCCGGCUGCAGAAAACAAGAAGCCAGGUUUAUAGUGCGUUCAUAAGGAGGCUGUCAGCUGCAAGGAAUGUCCGGAAGCACCGGGCAAGAAAAAGUGCAGCUUUAGUUGUGUCGCCGGCACCCCGAGCAACUAUCACAAAUGAAAAUGCCAUUUCUGAACUACAGGCCCUAAGCUCCUCAAGUAUGACUGGUGCAUCACUUGACAUGGAAAGAAUAAGAACCCUACUCACGGUGACGCUCCCAGACCGCUGCAAUAGAUACAUGGACCCUCUCCCACAGUACUUUUUCGUAGAG
rnacentral:lncRNA from 1 species